rnacentral:lncRNA from 1 species
GGCAAGCUCGAACUUCCUUUUUAGCGCCAUCAAAUUAUUCUUUUGGACCUUAUCAACUCCACUAUAUGCUUUGGCCAAAAUAUCCCAAGCCUGUUUUGUUGUUUGGUCUGUCGAAAUUUUGCCAAACACAGACAUAUCGAAGGCCUGGUGUAUUUGGGACGAGGCCAUACUAUCACGCCUUAUUUCAUUCUCUUCGGCACCUUCCUCCAGUUCUUCUCGCGUAU